GCCGCUUUAGCUCAGCCGGUAGAGCACAUCAUUCGUAAUGAUGGGGUCGCGUGUUCGAGUCACGCAAGCGGCA
rfam:Proteobacteria bacterium SG_bin5 547, whole genome shotgun sequence.